rnacentral:ribozyme from 1 species
UCCCGCGCGUAAUGAAAAAGAUGUUAAUGGAAUGAUGAAGCAAAAAGAGUAAACCUUUAUUUCUAUCUUUCUCUCUUUUUUUUAAAAUCUCUUAUUAUUGUUUGUUUAUAUUAUAUUG